UGCAUAACCCAAAAGCGGAGGAAAAGAAACCAACAGGGAUUGCCUUAGUAGCGGCGAGUGAAGCGGCAAAAGCUCAAAUUUGAAAUCUGGCUCUUUCAGAGUCCGAGUUGUAAUUUGAAGAAGGUAUCUUUGGGUCUGGCUCUUGUCUAUGUUUCUUGGAACAGAACGUCACAGAGGGUGAGAAUCCCGUGCGAUGAGAUGAUCCAGGCCUAUGUAAAGUUCCUUCGAAGAGUCGAGUUGUUUGGGAAUGCAGCUCUAAGUGGGUGGUAAAUUCCAUCUAAAGCUAAAUAUUGGCGAGAGACCGAUAGCGAACAAGUACAGUGAUGGAAAGAUGAAAAGAACUUUGAAAAGAGAGUGAAAAAGUACGUGAAAUUGUUGAAAGGGAAGGGCUUGAGAUCAGACUUGGUAUUUUGUAUGUUACUUCUUCGGGGGUGGCCUCUACAGUUUAUCGGGCCAGCAUCAGUUUGGGCGGUAGGAGAAUUGCGUUGGAAUGUGGCACGGCUUCGGUUGUGUGUUAUAGCCUUCGUCGAUACUGCCAGCCUAGACUGAGGACUGCGGUUUAUACCUAGGAUGUUGGCAUAAUGAUCUUAAGUCGCCCGUCUUGAAACCACGGA
rnacentral:rRNA from 1 species